GCUGCCGGCAGGGCAUGGCGCUCACCCUCUGCUACGUGCUGCUCACCUUCCUUACCCUGCUGCUCCUGUCCUGGGGUUCAGAGACUCUCAAGAGUCAAGUGGUUCUUGUGACUGUAGGGGAGUCUGUGUCGAUGGAGUGUCCUUUCCACAAGUACAACGGCACUAGCAACCCCUUCUAUGAGAUCCUCUGGAGCCACAGGAAUGAGUCCAGAAGGGUCCUGCAGUUUAGGAUGACCCGAUCCAAUCAGUCCUGUGUGUAUGACAGUAAAGGUCGCUUCAGUGGCGUUCUGGAUUUUGGAAGGAGCGUGAGCUUUCUCAACAUCUCAGCGGUGCUUAUGAAUGACACUGGCCUUUACCUUUGCUAUGUGAAGAUAGGGAUCAACAAUCCAACUAAAAAGGCGAUUCACCUGCUUGUUAGAGGUCUGCAUCCCUGGGCGGCCCCUGGGGACCUCAGCUACUCUGCACCUCAAGGCAGUAAAGUCACCCUGGACUGUGAUUUCCCCACUAACCUGACUGGCAACUUCACAGAUCUCUUCUGGCUGCACAAACGAGACCAGAGCCCGCCCCGACUCAUAGCAUGGCACCUCAAGUCCGGUUUCCAGAUUGAGAACGGCAGCAUUGGAAGUCGUUUCCAGAGCUCAUUAGAUCUGGAAAAUCACUGGAGCCGUCUCACCAUUACUGGGUUGGAAGCGAAGGAUGGUGGCUGGUACCAGUGUCAGAGAGGCCUGGGAGAGCUUUCUGGUGGGCAGAGGGGGAGGGGAACCAACCUCACUGUGAAAGGUGAGCGUGUUUCCAGGGACAUCGUGGGGCAAGUGAAAAUCCUUCUGUCCCUGUUGGCCUUUAUGUUUCAGUCGCUCCAUCUAAUCUAUGGCUUUAGUGACAGGAUGGGUGUGAGUCUUCUCAUCUAAGACACAUCUUACUGUGCAGAGUGCUUCUCAUUCACCUUGCUACCACCCUGCGGAGUUUGGGGAGUGCAGGUAGGCAAGAGCUGGAGCUGCGUCUGCAGCACACUUGUACCUGCACUGGCUGAGGGGGCUGGCAGCCCAGAGUGCAAGCUGCUGUUAUGGUGCAACGGCAAGGCUUUGCAAAGUCGCAGAACAUCAGUGCAAGAUGCACAGAUAUAUUUAAAGUAUCUACAAAACCACAGAAGUUCAUCUGUGAGGUUAUGUGCCUGUUGCUGCAGAUGGUUAUCUGUAAAAGUUGUUGAUCGCUGGUGAUGUGACCCUUCCAGGAACCAAUUUCAUCUGUAUCUAAUAGCAACGUAGGUUUUUAAUGCAUGCAGUUUAGUGUGCAAAGCAUCUUUUAUCCUGUGUAACUCAGUAAUAACAAAACCCAGCCUGGCCAAUUAACACGGUUAGUUAAACUUACACAGUAAUUUGGGCUCGCCAUGACUCACGUGGGAAAUAGAUGAUGUGAGGAUAAAACACGACCCUGUCUUGAACUGUAAGAUGUGCCAUGUCUUUGUUGAUUUGCAGCCAAAAGGAAUGUAACUCAUAUUUCAGAAGACAUUCUUAAAAGUUGGGCUGGUUCCUUGUGUUCUUCUUUCUGCAUCCUCAUGCUGAGGAAAGCACCAGCACUGUGUGACAGGAUGGGCACAGCCUGCUUCCUCCCUGCUUUUAGCCUUUUUUUCACAGGUUUUCUUCAAUGUCUCACUCACAUUCCUGAGCUGCAGAGGUCAGAGCCUGUUGCGUUUUCACUGAAACCACAAACCCACUUGCAGGUUUGCACAUCCCAGUAGCUAUUACAAUAUGAACAGCAUGAGUACAAGCCUGCUUUCUCCUUUCUAGGCUCUUCAUCUGCCCUGAUUAUGUUUUUGAGGAGCGCUGUGUUUGCUGUGAUUGCUCCGUGCUUGUAUUUGCUGUGUGUCGUGUCCAGCUGAUGAGACGGAACACCUUGGCGGACAGACUGCAUCCCCACUGCGAGCCUUCGGAGACCA